rnacentral:rRNA from 1 species
UACGGAGGGUGCAAGCGUUAAUCGGAAUUACUGGGCGUAAAGGGCGCGUAGGCGGCACUGUUAGUCAGGCGUGAAAUUCCUGGGCUCAACCUGGGGACUGCGCUUGAUACGGCAGAGCUAGAGGAUGGAAGAGGCUCGCGGAAUUCCCAGUGUAGAGGUGAAAUUCGUAGAUAUUGGGAAGAACACCGGUGGCGAAGGCGGCGAGCUGGUCCAUUACUGACGCUGAGGCGCGACAGCGUGGGGAGCAAACAGG